rnacentral:rRNA from 1 species
ACGGGAGGCAGCAGUGGGGAAUAUUGCACAAUGGGGGAAACCCUGAUGCAGCGACGCCGCGUGAGUGAUGAAGUAUUUCGGUAUGUAAAGCUCUUUAAGCAGGGAAGACAGUGACGGUACCUGCAGAAUAAGCACCGGCUAAAUACGUGCCAGCAGCCGCGGUAAUACGUAUGGUGCAAGCGUUAUCCGGAUUUACUGGGUGUAAAGGGAGCGUAGGUGGCCUGGCAAGCCAGAGGUGAAAACCCGGGGCUCAACCCCGCGGAUUGCCUUUGGAACUGUUGGGCUGGAGUGCAGGAGGGGUAAGCGGAAUUCCCAGUGUAGCGGUGAAAUGCGUAGAUAUUGGGAAGAACACCGGCGGCGAAGGCGGCUUACUGGACUGCUACUGACACUGAGGCUCGAAAGCGUGGGGAGCAAACAGGAUUAGAUACCCUGGUA